rnacentral:rRNA from 1 species
UACUACCGAAGCUACGGCAUCAGUAAUGAUGGGUAGGGGAGCUUCCCAUACGGGUUGAAGCAUGACCGUAAGGACAUGUGGACAGUAUGGGAGUGAGAAUGUUGGCAUGAGUAGCGAGAUGUGGGUGGGAAUCCCACAGGCCGUAAACCCCAGGUUUCCAGGGGAAGGUUCGUCCGCCCUGGGUUAGUCGGGACCUAAGCUGAGGCCGAAAGGCGUAGGUGAUGGACAACAGGUUGAUAUUCCUGUACUACCGAUAACC